rnacentral:miRNA from 1 species
UCACACAAAUCACUCGUCUCACU